rnacentral:rRNA from 1 species
UACAGAGGUCUCAAGCGUUGUUCGGAUUCAUUGGGCGUAAAGGGUGCGUAGGUGGCGGGGUUAGUCAGGUGUGAAAUCUCGGAGCUCAACUCCGAAACUGCACUUGAUACUGCCUUGCUAGAGUACUGGAGAGGAGAUUGGAAUUUACGGUGUAGCAGUGAAAUGCGUAGAUAUCGUAAGGAAGACCAGUGGCGAAGGCGAAUCUCUGGACAGUUACUGACACUGAGGCACGAAGGCCAGGGGAGCAAAC